rnacentral:rRNA from 1 species
GAUGAACGCUAGCGGCAGGCUUAACACAUGCAAGUCGAGGGGCAGCGUGGAGCAGCAAUGCUCUGACGGCGACCGGCGGAAGGGUGCGUAACACGUGAGCGACUUGCCCGUCACAGGGGGGUAACCGCGGAAACGGCGACUAAUACCCCAUACGAUGCGAUGCUGCAUGGCAUUGCAUUGAAAGAUUCAUCGGUGGCGGAUAGGCUCGCGGGACAUUAGCUAGACGGCGGGGCAACGGCCCACCGUGGCGACGAUGUCUAGGGGUUCUGAGAGGAAGGCCCCCCCANACUGGGACUGAGACACGGCCCAGACUCCUACGGGAGGCAGCAGUGAGGAAUAUUGGUCAAUGGGCGAAGCCUGAACCAGCCAUGCCGCGUGAAGGCUAAGGCCCUACGGGUCGUAAACUUCUUUAGACGCAGAGCAAUAAGGUCC